rnacentral:rRNA from 1 species
AUUGAACGCUGGCGGCAUGCCUUACACAUGCAAGUCGAACGGUAACGCGGGGCAACCUGGCGACGAGUGGCGAACGGGUGAGUAAUGCAUCGGAACGUGCCCGGUAGUGGGGGAUAACUGCUCGAAAGAGCAGCUAAUACCGCAUACGACCUGAGGGUGAAAGGGGGGGAUCGCAAGACCUCUCGCUAUCGGAGCGGCCGAUGUCGGAUUAGCUAGUUGGGGGGGUAAAAGCCCACCAAGGCAACGAUCCGUAGCUGGUCUGAGAGGACGACCAGCCACACUGGGACGGAGACACGGCCCAGACUCCUACGGGAGGCAGCAGUGGGGAAUUUUGGACAAUGGACGGAAGUCUGAUACAGCCAUGCCGCGUGCGGGAAGAAGGCCUUCGGGUUGUAAACCGCUUUUGUCAGGGAAGAAAUCUUCUGAGUUAAUACCUCGGGAGGAUGACGGUACCUGAAGAAUAAGCACCGGCUAACUACGUGCCAGCCGCCGCCGUAACAC